rnacentral:rRNA from 1 species
AAAUAGAACUUUGCAGAGAGAGUUAACAGGGCGUGAAACCGUUAAUUGGCAAACGAAUCGGAGCCACGAAGUCGUUUCGUUGAAGUUGGGGCCAAGUUCAGUCUAGGAGAGAUCUUGGGCGUAUUCUUGUGUCCAACCUUCUUUGUAAGCGUACACUGCAACUAGUUAGACAAUUGGAGAUGGGCCCAGUUGGUUAUCUCUGGUAGUAGUAGUGCGAUAGUCUUCGGGCUAUUGUGUUGCUGGCCAGGUGAUGAGUGAACUAUUUCCAAAUACUGACUAGAAAAAUGAAAAUCGCCCACUUGUGGCGUUAUACAGAAUGCAGUUGUCUACAUUAGUGUCUACAUGCUUGACCAUGUGCUUUUAAGUUCGGUAGUUUUGAAUUUGGACUUGCUAGCUACCAGUGGGGCAACUCCUGGUGCUAGUAUAGCUUUCAUCUAAUCGGCUACUGACUUGAGUAUGUGUUGUUUGGGUAUGCUACGAUAGGAUGUUAAUGUAAGAUGGCGCGCAAUCGAUUGGCAGUGAGUAGGUCGGCUUUCCGAACGACCCGUCUUGAAACACGGACCAAGGAGUCUAAUUAGGCAUCAAGUCGAUCGGUCUUGAAUAGGCCAGACUGGGUAUGUCUACCCGAUUGAAGGCGUAGAGACAAUCGUGUGAUCAUUGGAACAAAACAGUUCUUAUGCGCAACACGUGCCUGCUCGUAUAGCAAUGGGUUGCUGGGCGGAGCAAAGAGAUGCCUGAUUGGUACCCGAAAGAUGGUGAUGCUUGGGCAAAUUGAAGCCAGAGGAAACUCUGGUGGAGGAUUGUAGCGAUUCUGACGUGCAAAUCGAUCGUCAGACCUGAGUAUAGGGGCGAAAGACUAAUCGAACCAUC